rnacentral:rRNA from 1 species
AACGAACGCUGGCGGCAUGCCUAACACAUGCAAGUCGAACGAGACCUUCGGGUCUAGUGGCGCACGGGUGCGUAACGCGUGGGAACCUGCCCUUAGGUUCGGAAUAACUCCCCGAAAGGGGUGCUAAUACCGGAUAAUGUCUUCGGACCAAAGAUUUAUCGCCUUUGGAUGGGCCCGCGUUGGAUUAGCUAGUUGGUAGGGUAAAAGCCUACCAAGGCGACGAUCCAUAGCUGGUCUGAGAGGAUGAUCAGCCACACUGGGACUGAGACACGGCCCAGACUCCUACGGGAGGCAGCAGUGGAGAAUAUUGGACAAUGGGCGAAAGCCUGAUCCAGCAAUGCCGCGUGAGUGAUGAAGGCCUUAGGGUUGUAAAGCUCUUUUACCCGGGAUGAUAAGGACAGUACCGGGAGAAUAAGCUCCGGCUAACUCCGU